UAGGGAAUAUUGGACAAUGGGGGCAACCCUGAUCCAGCCAUGCCGCGUGAGUGAAGAAGGCCCUCGGGUUGUAAAACUCUUUUGUCCGGAAAGAAAAGCUUCGGGUUAAUACCCCGGGGUUCUGACGGUACCGGAAGAAUAAGCACCGGCUAACUUCGUGCCAGCAGCCGCGGUAAUACGAAGGGUGCAAGCGUUACUCGGAAUUACUGGGCGUAAAGCGUGCGUAGGUGGUUGUUUAAGUCUGAUGUGAAAGCCCUGGGCUCAACCUGGGAAUGGCAUUGGAAACUGCGGAGCUUGAGGUAGGGAGAGGAAUGCGGAAUUCCCGGUGUAGUGGUGGAAUGCGUAGAUAUCGGGAGGAACACCUGUGGCGAAAGCGACCGCCUGGACCAGCACUGACACUGAGGCACGAAAGCGUGGGGAGCAAACA
rnacentral:rRNA from 1 species